AAGAAAUCUAGUUUCAUUUUUUACACGUAGUUCUCUUAGUACCAUUUGCUCAAAAGAUUAUCUUUUCUCCAAAAUGAAUUUUUGACACCAUUGUCAAAUAUCAGAUGGCUAUGAUUUCCACAAACCCAAGACAACAAGAGUCUACAAAAUGCUAGUAGACUGCUUUGUAGAAGAAUCACCUCAAAAGAUAAAUGUGGCAAGCCUCCUUCUGCUGUGCCUAACGAAAGAGUUGCUAAAAGAUAACUGUCCUCCCUGGGAAGAAGGUGAAAAUAUAUCUCCAAAUUCUUAUUAUGGAUCAAACCAAAUUGUAACAAACUAUAGAAGAACAAAAACACCAAAGGAAAGUUAUCAGAAUAGAAUGCUGUCAGCUGCUAUCCUCAGACCAGAACACAUCCAUAGAAGAUGAAUAGAUAAAGUUUUACUUGUUUGCUACAAUUUCAAAAAAGUGAAUUUUACUGUAUUAAAGCCAUCAAAUGAGAAAUUUUUCUUUGUUGCAUUACUAGUUUCAAAUCAGUUGUGUGUGUAUGUGUGUGUGAGCAUGCGCACAUGUGCACACUUCUCUUUUAAAAGCAUAACAUUGGUGAUCAGGAUAUAUGUACAAUUAUCCUUACUUUGUUCUCCACCAUAAUUUUUCUUAUGAAAACAAAAAUUUCAAGAUCUGUUGUUUGCUAAAACUCUGUAGGAUUUUACUUAAAAUCAGCCCCAAUAUUUCUAGUUUCAUUGCAGGAAAUAAAGUUUCAAAGAACAAUCUAUCCUGUUUGGAGCCAUACACAGACAGUUAGAAUUAAAAUGGCAAUGUAUUUGAGACUAAGAAAAAAGAUUUUGCCCUUUAAGAUUACCUGCAUCAUUUCAAAAUUGACAGUUCAAAACAAAGAAAAAUUUGUGUUAAGGGAAAUGAUGUAGAUUUAGCUACCAAAAAUCCAUUCAUUUUGGUCACUUUCCUCAUCAACUUAACAAGUCCUGCAGCAAUCCACAUUGAUCAGGGUUAAAUUAAUAAAUAGCUAGGUUCCAAUCUAUUUAUUUCAUCAAUAUAGCCAAAAGGGGAGUAAAAGAAAAGAAAAAUAAAAAGUAGCCUCUGUUUCAUUCCUUUGUUUUCACUUGCGAUGAAGACCCUUGGAGGAAACUGACACUAGUAUGGCAGUAUGUGUAAACGUGGCUGUAUAACCAAUAUGAUCCUGCAAUUUGUACAUGUGGGAAAAAUAAGAAUUCAUACGCCAUUUGAAUCAACUGUAUGAUAUAUGAUAUGUCAAGAUCAUUGUAAU